rnacentral:rRNA from 1 species
UGGUUAAAAAGCUCGUAGUUGGAUCUCAACAGCCUUGAAGCGGUUAACUUUGUAGUUUUACUGCUUUAUAGGCUGUGCUUUUGCUGGAGGUUUAGGGGUGCUCUUGAUCGAGUGUCUCUGGAUGCCAGCAGGUUUACUUUGAAAAAAUUAGAGUGCUCAAAGCAGGCUAAAAUGCCUGAAUAUUCGUGCAUGGAAUAAUAGAAUAGGAUGUCGAUCCUAUAUUGUUGGUUUUCGGGACUCGACAUAAUGAUAAAUAGGGACAGUCGGGGCAUUUGUAUUCAAACGACAGAGGUGAAAUUCUUGGACCGUUUGAAGACAAACUACUGCGAAAGCAUUUGCCAAGAAUGUUUUCAUUAAUCAAGAACGAAAGUUAGAGGUUCGAAGGCGAUUAGAUACCGCCCUAGUUCUAACCAUAAACGAUGCCAGCUAGCGAUCUGCCUGCGUUUUUACUGUAGACUGGGCAGGAAGCUUCCGGGAAACCAAAGCAUUUGGGUUCCAGGGGAAGUAUGGUUGCAAAGCUGAAACUUAAAGGAAUUGACGGAAGGGCACCACCAGGAGUGGAGCCUGUGGCUUAAUUUGACUCAACACGGGAAAUCUCACCAGGCCCGGAC